rnacentral:rRNA from 1 species
UACGUAUGGAGCAAGCGUUAUCCGGAUUUACUGGGUAUAAAGGGAGCGUAGGCGGCAUACCAAGCCUGAUGUGAAAACCCGGGGCCCAACCCCGGGAGUGCAUUGGGAACUGGCAAGCUAGAGUGUCGGAGAGGCAGGCGGAAUUCCUAGUGUAGCGGUGAAAUGCGUAGAUAUUAGGAGGAACACCAGUGGCGAAGGCGGCCUGCUGGACGAUGACUAACGCUGAGGCUCGAAAGCGUGGGGAGCAAACAGG